rnacentral:rRNA from 1 species
UACGUAGGUGGCAAGCGUUGUCCGGAAUUAUUGGGCGUAAAGCGCGCGCAGGCGGUCCUUUUAAGUCUGAUGUGAAAGCCCACGGCUCAACCGUGGAGGGUCAUUGGAAACUGGAGGACUUGAGUACAGAAGAGGAAAGCGGAAUUCCACGUGUAGCGGUGAAAUGCGUAGAGAUGUGGAGGAACACCAGUGGCGAAGGCGGCUUUCUGGUCUGUAACUGACGCUGAGGCGCGAAAAGCGUGGGGAGCAAACAGG